rnacentral:rRNA from 1 species
AUUGAACGCUGGCGGCAUGCCUUACACAUGCAAGUCGAACGGUAACAGGUUAAGCUGACGAGUGGCGAACGGGUGAGUAAUAUAUCGGAACGUGCCCAGUUGUGGGGGAUAACUGCUCGAAAGGGCAGCUAAUACCGCAUACGACCUGAGGGUGGAAGCGGGGGAUCGCAAGACCUCGCGCAAUGGAGCGGCCGAUAUCAUAUUAGCUAGUUGGCGGGGUAAAACCCCACCAAGGCGACUAUCUGUAGCUGGUCUGAGAGGACCACCACCCACACUGGGACUGAGACACGGCCCACACUCCUACGGGAGGCAGCAGUGGGGAAUUUUGGACAAUGGACGCAAGUCUGAUCCAGCCAUGCCGCGUGCGGAAAGAAGGCCUUCGGGUUGUAAACCUCUUUUGUCAGGGAAGAAACGCUCUGGGCUAAUACCCUGGGGUAAUGACGGUACCUGAAGAAUAAGCACCGGCUAACUCCGUGCCAGCAGCCGCGGUAAUACGGAGGGUGCAAGCGUUACUCGGAAUCACUGGGCGUAAAGCGCAUGUAGGCGGACUAACAA